rnacentral:rRNA from 1 species
AUUGAACGCUGGCGGCAGGCCUAACACAUGCAAGUCGAGCGAGCGGCGGACGGGUGAGUAAUGUCUGGGAAACUGCCUGAUGGAGGGGGAUAACUACUGGAAACGGUAGCUAAUACCGCAUACCAUCAGAUGUGCCCAGAUGGGAUUAGCUAGUAGGUGGGGUAAGGGCUCACCUAGGCGACGAACCCUAGCUGGUCGGAGAGGAUGACCGGCCACACGGGAACUGGGACAGGGUCCAGACUCCUACGGGAGGCAGCGGUGGGGAAUAUUGCACAAUGGGCGCAAGCCUGAUGCAGCCAUGCCGCGUGGAGGAAGAAGGCCUUCGGGUUGUAAAGUACGUUCAGCGGGGAGGCGUUACCCGCAGAAGAAGCACCGGCUAACUCCGUGCCAGCCGCCGCGGUAAUUC